rnacentral:rRNA from 1 species
UACGGAGGGUGCGAGCGUUGUCCGGAAUCACUGGGCGUAAAGGGCGCGUAGGCGGCGCGGGAAGUCCGUGGUGAAAGCCCGAGGCUCAACUUCGGGUCGGCCAUGGAUACUCCUGGGCUCGAGCACUGUAGAGGCAGGUGGAAUUCCGGGUGUAGCGGUGGAAUGCGUAGAGAUCCGGAAGAACACCGGUGGCGAAGGCGGCCUGCUGGGCAGUAGCUGACGCUGAUGCGCGACAGCGUGGGGAGCAAACAGG